CCUGGCUCAGGGCGAACGCUGGCGGCGGGCCUAACACAUGCAAGUCGUACGCGGGGUUCUCCUUCGGGAGAACUGCCGAGUGGCGAACGGGUGCGUAACGCGUAGGUAACCUGCCCUCGAGUGGGGGAUAACUCCGGGAAACCGGGGCUAAUACCGCAUAUUGUCCCGGGACCGCAUGGCUCCGGGAUGAAAGCCCUCUGGGCGCUCGAGGAUGGGCCUGCGUCGGAUUAGCUAGUUGGUGGGGUAACGGCCCACCAAGGCGACGAUCCGUAGCUGGUCUGAGAGGACGACCAGCCACACUGGCACUGAGACACGGGCCAGACUCCUACGGGAGGCAGCAGUGGGGAAUCUUGGGCAAUGGGCGAAAGCCUGACCCAGCCACGCCGCGUGGAGGAUGAAGCCCUUCGGGGUGUAAACUCCUUUUCUGGGGGAAGAAAUCCCGGCUCUGGUCGGGACUGACGGUACCCCAGGAAUAAGCGCCGGCUAACUCCGUGCCAGCAGCCGCGGUAAUACGGAGGGCGCAAGCGUUGCCCGGAAUCACUGGGUGUAAAGGGUGCGUAGGCGGGGCUGUAAGUCAGAGGUGAAAGCCUCCGGCUCAACCGGAGAAUUGCCUCUGAUACUGCAGCUCUUGAGUCCCGGAGAGGCCGCUGGAAUUCCUGGUGUAGCGGUGAAAUGCGUAGAUAUCAGGAGGAACACCGGAGGCGAAGGCGGGCGGCUGGACGGGGACUGACGCUGAGGCACGAAAGCGUGGGGAGCAAACAGGAUUAGAUACCCUGGUAGUCCACGCCGUAAACGAUGGAUGCUCGGCGUUGCCGCCUUCGGGCGGCAGUGCCUAAGCUAACGCGGUAAGCAUCCCACCUGGGGAGUACGGCCGC
rnacentral:rRNA from 1 species